CCUACGGGGGACAGCAGUGAGGAAUAUUGGUCAAUGGGCGAGAGUCUGAACCAGCCAAGUAGCGUGAAGGAUGACUGCCCUAUGGGUUGUAAACUUCUUUUAUAUGGGAAUAAAAUGUUCCACGUGUGGGAUUUUGUAUGUACCAUAUGAAUAAGGAUCGGCUAACUCCGUGCCAGCAGCCGCGGUAAUACGGAGGAUCCGAGCGUUAUCCGGAUUUAUUGGGUUUAAAGGGAGCGUAGGUGGAUUGUUAAGUCAGUUGUGAAAGUUUGCGGCUCAACCGUAAAAUUGCAGUUGAAACUGGCAGUCUAGAGUACAGUAGAGGUGGGCGGAAUUCGUGGUGUAGCGGUGAAAUGCUUAGAUAUCACGAAGAACUCCGAUUGCGAAGGCAGCUCACUGGACUGCAACUGACACUGAGGCUCGAAAGUGUGGGUAUCAAACAGGAUUAGAUACCCUGGUAGUC
rnacentral:rRNA from 1 species